rnacentral:rRNA from 1 species
GGGGCCCGCACAAGCGGUGGAGUAUGUGGUUUAAUUCGAUGCAACGCGAAGAACCUUACCAGGCCUUGACAUGCAGAGAACUUUCCAGAGAUGGAUUGGUGCCUUCGGGAACUCUGACACAGGUGCUGCAUGGCUGUCGUCAGCUCGUGUCGUGAGAUGUUGGGUUAAGUCCCGCAACGAGCGCAACCCUUGCCUUUAGUUGCCAGCAGUUCGGCUGGGCACUCUAAAGGGACUGCCGGUGUUAAACCGGAGGAAGGUGGGGAUGACGUCAAGUCCUCAUGGCCUUUAUGACCAGGGCUACACACGUACUACAAUGGCCGAUACAAAGGGCAGCGACACUGCGAGGUGAAGCCAAUCCCGUAAAAUCGGUCUCAGUCCGGAUUGGAGUCUGCAACUCGACUCCAUGAAGUUGGAAUCGCUAGUAAUCGUGGAUCAGCAUGCCACGGUGAAUACGUUCCCGGGCCUU